UACGUAGGGUCCGAGCGUUGUCCGGAAUUAUUGGGCGUAAAGGGCUCGUAGGCGGUUUGUCGCGUCGGGAGUGAAAACACCGGGCUUAACUCGGUGCUUGCUUUCGAUACGGGCAGACUGGAGGUAUGCAGGGGAGAACGGAAUUCCUGGUGUAGCGGUGAAAUGCGCAGAUAUCAGGAGGAACACCGGUGGCGAAGGCGGUUCUCUGGGCAUUACCUGACGCUGAGGAGCGAAAGCGUGGGGAGCAAACAGG
rnacentral:rRNA from 1 species